UAUUUAAGGAUGUACUUAGAUGAUCUAAGGUAAAAUUAAGUAAAUCAAGAAUUCAAAAUUGAUACUUUAACAAUGUUUAAGCUGGAAGAGUAUAAGUUAAGGAUCAAAAUAAGCUAAAAAUAUUGAUAGGUCAUGGAGCUCCUUUUUGAGAUAUUUGAUUUAUAAAAUAUGGCGGGAAGAGGCUGACUUGGACUUUAACCUUUUAUUUGCAUUGGUAUUAUUUGGGUCUCAAAUCAAAAGAAAGAAAAUCAAGAAUCUGCUUAAGUUUUGUUAAAUGACCUUUUAUGAGCUAUUAAGUUUU
rnacentral:lncRNA from 1 species